AUACGGAGGGUGCAAGCGUUGUCCGGAUUUAUUGGGUUUAAAGGGUGCGUAGGCGGCUUGACAAGUCAGUGGUGAAAUCCUCCCGCUCAACGGGAGAACUGCCAUUGAAACUGUAAGGCUUGAGGACAGUCGAGGUAGGCGGAAUUUAUGGUGUAGCGGUGAAAUGCAUAGAUACCAUAAAGAACACCGAUAGCGAAGGCAGCUUACUAGACUGUAUCUGACGCUGAGGCACGAAAGCGUGGGGAGCGAACAGGAUUAGAAACCCCGGUAGUCC
rnacentral:rRNA from 1 species